GUCUUCGAAUAUCGACGUCAUAAACACCAAAGUUGAUCGUGUUUAUGACGUCGAAUAUAGACGUUAUCUACACCAAAGUUGAUCGUGUUUAUGACGUCGUAUAUCGACGUAAUAAACAUCAAAGUUGAUCGUGUUUAACACCUCGAAUAUCACCGUCAUAAACACCAAAGUUGAUCGUGUUUAUGACGUCGAAUAUCGACGUCAUAAACACCAAAGUUGAUCGUGUUUAUGACGUCGCAUAUCGACGUC
rnacentral:miRNA from 1 species